rnacentral:rRNA from 1 species
UACGUAGGGUGCAAGCGUUACUCGGAAUUACUGGGCGUAAAGUGUGCGCAGGUGGCCGCGCAAGUCGAGUGUGAAAUCCCCGAGCUUAACUUGGGAAUUGCGCUCGAAACUACGUGGCUCGAGUGUGGCAGAGGAAGGUGGAAUUCCACGUGUAGCGGUGAAAUGCGUAGAGAUGUGGAGGAACACCGAUGGCGAAGGCAGCCUUCUGGGCCAACACUGACGCUCAUGCACGAAAGCGUGGGGAGCAAACAGG